NNNNGCCCACGUGUGUCCGGCCUCCGCAGGGCCCUGGGCGGCGGCGCGGGAUGGGGCGGCGGUCAGCGUGUCACCGCUUGGUGGCCUCGUGUGCGCACAGCUGGGGCCCGGGGAGCACGGGGUUAAAGAAGUCAGUGGAAGAACAGCUGAUUUCUACGGUUUUAAUGACUACUUUGGGACCACUCACAUGACCCAACACACCGCAUACGUGAAAAUGUUCAUGGAAAGAACACCCAUCAAGUGUUCCUCAGAUGUCACCUUGGAGUUCCAGAGUCAACUAUAUUGCACACCAUGGGGAGACAUGGGAGAGAGAAGGAAAGAGAGAAAUCAGCAGAGAGAAGCUGAGGAAAAACCCACCAUGUGAACUGUGCCGGUGAUUCUGCCUGCCAUUUCCAUUAAUGAAUGUAUGGGCCAAAGGAGGCCAAGUUGUGGGGUAUCUGUUGCUCCCUAAAGUGAUCAGGUUUCCUGCUCGUGUAGCUUAGUUUGACUAUUUAU
rnacentral:lncRNA from 1 species